rnacentral:rRNA from 1 species
GUGCCAGCAGCCGCGGUAACACGUAGGGGGCAAGCGUUGUUCGGAAUUAUUGGGCGUAAAGGGCAUGUAGGCGGUUUUGUAAGUCUGGCGUGAAAUGGUAAGGCUCAACCUUAUCCUGCGUCGGAAACUGCGAGACUAGAAUCACUGAGGGGAAAUCAGAAUUCCAGGUGUAGGGGUGAAAUCUGUAGAUAUCUGGAAGAAUACCAGUGGCGAAGGCGGAUUUCUGGCAGAUGAUUGACGCUGAGGUGCGAAAGCGUGGGGAGCAAACAGGAUUAGAUACCCCUGUAGUCC